GUAUAGCUCAGUGGUAGAGCAUUAAUCUACAGAUCAAGAGGUCCCUGGUUCAAUUCCAGGUAC
rnacentral:tRNA from 1 species